AACGAACGCUGGCGGCAUGCCUAACACAUGCAAGUCGAACGACACCUUCGUGUCUAGUUGCGCACGCGUGCGUAACGCGUCGGAACCUUCCCUUAUGUUCGGAAUAAUACCCUUAAAUGGGUGCUAAUACCGGAUAAUGUCUUCGGACCCAAGAUUUAUCGCCUUUGUAUGGGCCCGCGUUGGUUUAGCCAGUUGGUAGUGUAAAAGCCUACCAAGGCGACGAUACAUAGCUGGUCUGAGAGGAUGAGCAGCCACACUGGGAGUGAGACACGGCGGAGACUACUACGGAAGGGAGCAGUGGGGAAUAUUGGAAAAUGGGCUAAGGGCUGAUGGAGCAAUGCCGGGUGAGUGAUGAUGUCCUUAGGGUUGUAAAGCUGUUUUACACGGGAUGAUACUGACAGUACCGGGAGAAUAAGCUCCGGCUAACUUCGUG
rnacentral:rRNA from 1 species